CAUAAUCACGAGAAGUCACUUAUCUUUUAUCACAAAUUUCAUAUCAAAAACACAAAUCAAUACUCAAUGAAUCAGAGACAUUCAAAUCCAAUAAUCCAAGUACUUCGGAGACAUUCAAAUUCUGCUUAUAGCAUCCAACAAUAUACAAAUUUCCACCAUUAGCAUAAGAGUAAGCUUAUGCCAUUAGCAACCAUACAGUGUAAACUCCGCCUAACAGAGUGAGUUUUCACCCUUAGCAACCAUACAUAUAAAUUUCCACUGAACUAAUUUUGCACAUAACAGACGGAAUCAAACUUCAAACCAAGACCCAACCCAAGAUCGAAGAAGAAGAAUCCAAGAACCGAACUCCAGAACAAAAAUGCAAGCCAAGACCGAAGAAGACUUGAAGAAAAAAAAGAAACAAAAAUUCAAGAAGAAGACCACACCCUCAGUGAAGAUGAGGACGAUAAGCCACUAACCUGGGUCCGUGCCGAGAAGCCAGCAAAGAUGAAGACCCGGCGAGGACCUACCGAGUUACUGGGUCAGGCGGUGACGAUGGAGGAUCUGGGUUAGGCGGCGAGGAUGGAGGAAGAAGCUGCGGUGCUUGGGACCUUGGACGGCGUCGGCGCCGAGGACCUUUGUCAGUCGGCGACCAUGCAGGGCUAGGCGGAGGUCAACACCGUGAGGGUUUCUUUGAAUCUGCUUUCUCCUGUACGUGUAUCAAUGAUUGUUUCAGGGAACAAGGGGAGGGGGUUGGGUCACGAGCGAGGUUUGGGGUUUACCUGGGUCCUUUUUUUUGUUAACAGAUUAAAAAAAAGCAUCAAAAUAUUUUGGUCCAACAACAAAAAACGGGCCACAAGGCUUGGGCCCCUAAUCAGCAAAAACUGAUUACUAGUUUUAACACCUAAUUACCCCAUCUAACCAAAGACCUUCCCUCACGUGCUCCCAUCAGCUUUUCCUGCAACUCUUGUUAAGGCCUGAUCACUUUGUCCCCUCCAUAUACCACAUGUCAUCCCCACAGCCUGCCACCCAUUAUCUACACAUAUAGAUACUAUCUUGGUGUCUAUACCGAAGACUUUGCCAAAAUAUUAUUAACUUAAUAUUUAUGAU